GAAUUAUGGAAUGAAAUAAAACAUCUCCUUUUCACAUUAAUUUGGUUGAAUGAUAACUUUUCACUAUAGGCAAUGGUUGCCAAAACCAAUCACUUCGCACGCUUCCCUGUCAUGCAGAGAUAAAUUGUCUAACCUGAUGGUUGAAGGGAUCCUGAAAUGCCAUAAUGAUGUUAAGCAGAAGGGGAAAUUCCAAACAUGGAAAGGAAAAUAAUCAUGGAUUGCAAGUAUAGAUAAACUUAUUCAAGUGUUCAAAUACAGUAUCACUAAAUUAUGUACAAUGUGAGAUAACAAUAGUGCAGACUGCAGACACAGUGGAUCAUUAAGUAAAUGUACUCUCUGAAAUGACUGGCAGUACAUAUAUAGGACUGGAAAUAAAAAGCCAAUAUUACAGUAGCUUUAUCCAUCACGAUUUUAUUCACACACCAUACAUCUGAAAAAACUUAUUAUUACAACAGCAAAAGUAAUCGUUCUCCCAUAAAACUGCAUAUCCAUAAAAACACUAUAUUACAAUGGGUGAAGAGAAAUGAACUGUAUAGCAUUAUGCCCAAGGGGCUAUUUGGCAUCAGCUAUCUGCGCGUCUUUGUCCUUAUCAGGAAACAGAACUCACAUUCUCAGCUUCUUUUAUCUGCCUCAAAAUGUCAGCUUUUUUCUCAAGGAGAGCUUCAAUUUUUCCAUCAAUCUUCUGUAACUUCUUUUUCAGACUGUCAAGGUCCUUGCUUUUACACUUAUCACCCUUUUUUCUUUUCUUAUCACCAUUCUCUUUCUUUUCUUUAUCUUUCUCUUCCUCUUUACCGUCCUUUGCCUUAUCAUUCUCCUCUUCCUCCUCUUCUCUCACUUCUGAUUCUAUUUGAAUCGCCCUUUUGACAACUUCAGCCUCGCUCUUUGACUCAAUAACUUCAUCCUUGUGUUUCUUACCCUUUUUCUCUUCCUUGUCCUUCUUUUCUUUCUUUUUCUUAUUCUUCUUCUCUUCUUUCUCUUCACCUUUCUCUUCUUCUUCUUCCUCCUCUGUUCCAUCCUUGUGUUUCUUCUCUUUAUUCUUCUUCUGUUUCUUGUUCUUCUUCUCUUCUCCCUUGUCUUCUUCUUUUUCCUUGUCCUUUUUUUCUGUUUCUUCCACAGAUCCUUCACCUACCUUCUUCUCUUCAUCUUUGACCUUCUUUUCUUUCCCUUUUUCUUUUUCAUCCUUCUUCUUCUCCUCAUCCUUCUCCUUACUCUCCUCUACAAGCUUCUUAUCGCCCUCUACCUUAAUACUCAAACUUUUAUCCUUGACUUCCCUUGUCUCUUUUUCUUCUUCCUCUGAGUGUUUAUUAUCUUUGUCCUUCUUCUCUUUCUUCUUUUUCUCAUCUUUCUCCUUGGCCUCCUCUACAUGUUCUUCCUUCUUCUUUUUCUUCUCUUCUUUUCCCUUGUCUUCCUUAUCUUCUUUCUCUUCUUUUUUCUUAGACUCUCCAGCUUCAUUAUCUACCUCUGACUCUUCACCUAAACUAUCCUCACCAUCCUUUUCUUUCUUCUUCUUCUUUUUCUUUUCCUUGUCUUUCUCCUUCUUCUUGUCAUCUUCAUCAUCACCCUUCUUAUUCUUCUUAUCUUUCUCCUCCUUGUCCUCUUUCUGCUUUGGCUUUUCCUUCUCUACUGAUUUGGUCUUCAAUUCAAGUUCAACCUCAUUUUUCUCUUCCUUCUCAUCCUUUGGCUCUUUAUCCUUGCUCUUGACUUUGACAUGCAUUUCCUCCUUUUUAAUUCUUUCAGCUACUUCAACAGCAGCUUCAGAUUUGCCUUCCAUCUCAGGAUUUUUGUGAAAUACUUGAACAGUAAAUGAAAAUCCUUUCUUGUUCAAGUUAAGGUUCCCUGAAAAAAAAUGCAGACCAAUUAGGAAGUGAGACAUCAAUUCCAAACAACCUAUGAGAUAACUUGAAAUGAAUAUUCAGCUGCAUAGGAUAAACAAGACUAAUAGAUAGAUCAAAUGAAACUAAUCAUUUGAUGGGAUCAUUACAAACAAAAAAUAUGAACCUCACACAAGGACACAGAUACUGAGGUUCCCUAUUCAACCCAAAAACAGGACCUUGUCAUUUUGCCUGCCUCCAAUCCAAAACCAAAAGACAGGAAUUACUGGUUCCCUUUUUCUAUUGCAUGAGCAACAAGGACAAAUGGAAAGAUGGUAGAAGGAAUAUGCAAUGGAGAGAAAGAAAAGAAAAAAAAAAAUUUUCCAGAAAUGCAACCACAAGCCAAUCAGAGAUUCCUAGUGUCAAUCUUUCUCUAAUUCAAUUUACACUAUUUAUUAGAAAAAGAAAAACUCAUCAACCAGUAAUUAAGCAAAAAAAUCAUCCAAAAUGAAAGCAAAACGUUUGUUCUUCUUAUCCUCUGUCACUCAAUUACCUGAGACAGAGAAUGAUUCCAUAUUGAUGAUUUUUUUUUUUAGACACUCCUCAGAAAUUAUAAUUUCUUAAUUUUUUUUUAAAAAAAAGAGAGAUGGACAUAAAUCAUAUAAUCAAAGCAAAACAAGAAUCAAGAAAUUGGCUAAAGAAACAAUCUAAUAUAUUAAGGGAUCAAGGGUAAUA
rnacentral:misc_RNA from 1 species